UUUCGUUCUCUCACAUAUCUCAUCGACUUCUUUACUCUCAUUAUAGUUUUCCUUCUCUCAUAUAUUUCAUUGACACCCACCGCUAUGGAUGCACAAAACCCACCUGUAGUUGCUUUGGAGGAGGCCAGACGUCGUUCUGAGGCGAGAAAAAUGCAGGCUGUGACACGGUUUGAUUAUGCAAAAGAGUUUGUCAAAAAUAAUCGGAUCGAAGCAGCAAUCAAAGAAAGUAAGAAGGCAACGGCCCUUCUGAAAGAAGAAUUGAGGGAGAAUGCUCCUCAUUGAAGAAGCAGGAGGAUUAAAAUGUAAGAAUUCUUUGAUUUUUUCUUGGUGGUACCAAGAAAAUAAUUCUUGGAUCUAAAUUUUUUUCAGUGUCUUUUGAUUCUUUUACGGGAGAUAAAGAAAUGGCCUUUGAUUGUUUUUAAUUCUGUGUGGAUUUUGAUUCUUUGAGUUUGAUUUUCAUUCUGAGACUAGGGAAUUACGGGAUUUGGAGAAAUCGUUCAACUAAAUAUUAUAGUAGGUGUUAUUAGAAUAAAAAAAAAUCAUUUAUG
rnacentral:lncRNA from 1 species